GCAGUGCCGCACACAGAAGACGGAGCGAGUGACAAGGAGCAAAUUUCAGCGAGAAGAAGAAAGUGACGGCACCCUCAGAAGCAACAGGUGACGUGAGUGCAGGUGACAGUGGAAGGGAACACCGUCACAGUUACCCACCUGGGGGCGGAGAGACUUCCAGGGAAAUGUCAGUAUGCAACAUUAUCACUGGAGGAUGAGGCAGCUACCGCCAAUACCGGCUAAUACCACACCACCUCACCCUUUAGAGCAGUGGUUCUCAACCUUUUUUUAUUUUUUUAUUUCAAGUACCCCCUAAUCAGAGCAAAGCAUCUUUGGUUGAAAAAAAGAGAUAAAGAAGUCAAAUACAGCACUAGAGUUUUCCUUUCCCUUAUGUGGGCUCUACCGAGGAUGUCGUUGUGGUUUGUGCAGCCCUUUGAGACACUAGUGAUUUAGGGCUAUAUAUAAGGACGGCGUGGCGCAGUGGGAGAGUGGCCGUGCGCAACCCGAGGGUCCCUGGUUCAAAUCCCACCUAGUACCAACCUCGUCACGUCCGUUGUGUCCUGAGCAAGACACUUCACCCUUGCUCCUGAUGUGUGCUGGUUGGCGCCUUGCAUGGCAGCUCCCUCCGUCAGUGUGUGAAUGUGUGUGUGAAUGGGUAAAUGUGGAAGUAGUGUCAAAGCGCUUUGAGUACCUUGAAGGUAGAAAAGCGCUA